GAUCGAACAAGAGGGAGAGCAAGGGGAAACCCUAGUUCUUCAAAAUUUUACAAAAUUAAAGGAGGAAAAGGCUGAAUUAUCAAUGCAUGAGUUAGGAGAUGGAUUCCUUAAGUGUCUCUAACAUCAAGACAAAGAAGGAGGAAGGAACAAGCCACUCCAAAGCGCAAGGAACUCAAGACCACGGAAUCUAUAAUAAAAAUGCCUUAAUGCGAAUUGAUAGUAGGAAAAGAGAAAAAGUGUAUUGACGACCCGUGCAAAUGGGUCUAAAGUAAAUCUCAUGCUUAGGAUGGCGAGCUCGGAUCGAAUACACCACAUCACCCAUAUAUGCGCUUCCGGUUAAAGUCGCCUUCUUGUAAAACGAUCAAAAUGAUUUUUGUGAUGUAAAUGUUAAAGUUAAGUCUAGGAUGUUCAUAAAUUGUUUGGACAUUUUCUUUAAAAUCUUAAUUUGGGUAUUUUGGUCAAAAUACUUGUAAUGAAUU